rnacentral:misc_RNA from 1 species
AACGCACAUUGCGCCCUCUGGUAUUCCGGGGGGCAUGCCUGUUCGAGCGUCAUGUCUAACUCAAGCUCUUUGCUUGGUGUUGGGUGCCGUCCCCCGGGACGCACCUGGAAAUCAGCGGCGAUGCGGCCGGCGACCAGGCGUAGUAAACCACUUCCGCUUAGGUUCCCCGGGCGCGUUCGCCGGACAACCCUCCAUUUUUUAACUAUGGUUGACCUCGGAUCAGGUAGGGAUACCCGCUGAACUUAA